GUGCCAGCCGCCGCGGUAAUACGGAGGGUGCAAGCGUUAAUCUGAAUUACUGGGCGUAAAGCGCGCGUAGGUGGUUUGUUAAGCGAGAUGUGAAAGCCCCGGGCUCAACCUGGGAACGGCAUUUCGAACUGGCAGGCUAGAGUGUGGUAGAGGGGUGUGGAAUUUCCUGUGUAGCGGUGAAAUGCGUAGAUAUAGGAAGGAACACCAGUGGCGAAGGCGGCACCCUGGACCAACACUGACACUGAGGUGCGAAAGCGUGGGGAGCAAACAGGAUUAGAAACCCAGUAGUCC
rnacentral:rRNA from 1 species